CCAUCGAAGCCGGCGUGGUCACCAAGUAGGCGCAGAAGUUCCUGGAUGGAGAGGCGACGGUACUGUGCUUUUUGCGAGGUGGGAGGUGAAACUGGCGAGGAAAACGACAGGUGCAGUGUGUCUUUCUACAUUAAAAAAAUUGCUGUGUUUCUACAUUCAAAGCCUGUUCAUUUUUCAGCUGAAAUGGGUCAGUAAAGAAUGAACCCUA